rnacentral:lncRNA from 13 species
UCCAUCAGUCACACCAGAGCCAUAGGAGAACUCCAGGAAGAACAGCAUUCAAGUCAAGUGGGCCUGGUUUUGAGACCCAACUCUGCUGCUCUCUAGUGUGUGACUUUGGGAAAGUUCUCCAAUCUUUCCAAGGCUCUGCCUCCUCCUGUAAAGGGGCUCAUAGGAGUGUUGAACCGAUUGAGAUCAUGUGUGUGCAAAUGCCUAGCAGAGCUCAUUAGACCUUUUGAAGUAGGAGCAGCUGAAGAGACCUGUGUCCUCACUCUGAGGGUCACCUGAAGCCUUCAGUUGUCCCUUCAAUAAUCCAACACAUAAGCUUGGAGAAUCUACUGUGUGCCAGGCACUAUGCUAAGCAUGGGAGAGACAGCAGUAAAGAAAACACCACAGUCUCUGAGCAUUCCUCAUGAAGUUGACUCUCUAAUAGACAGACACUGAACCAGACCGUUCUCUCUGCCAUCACAGACCUUCCAUCAAAAGCCUUUACAUAAAGGACAGUAGCACAUGCUCUGGAGACAAUUGCCAGGGAACCUGGACAGGCUGCAGCUGGAGGCCCAAGUCCCACUUCUGGGAACUGCAGGGAGAGGAAGAAAAACAGGAGCAGGGAGGGAGAAAACAAGUCCCAUCGAGCAAGGCCAGGGAAGGGAGAAGAGAUUAGGACAGGGG